GAUGAACGCUGGCGGCGUGCCUAAUACAUGCAAGUCGAGCGAACAGACGAGGAGCUUGCUCCCCUGACGUUAGCGGCGGACGGGUGAGUAACACGUGGAUAACCUACCUAUAAGACUGGGAUAACUUCGGGAAACCGGAGCUAAUACCGGAUAAUAUAUUGAACCGCAUGGUUCAAUAGUGAAAGACGGUUUUGCUGUCACUUAUAGACGGAUCCGCGCCGCAUUAGCUAGUUGGUAAGGUAACGGCUUACCAAGGCGACGAUGCGUAGCCGAGCUGAGAGGGUGAUCGGCCACACUGGAACUGAGACACGGUCCAGACUCCUACGGGAGGCAGCAGUAGGGAAUCUUCCGCAAUGGGCGAAAGCCUGACGGAGCAACGCCGCGUGAGUGAUGAAGGUCUUCGGAUCGUAAAACUCUGUUAUUAGGGAAGAACAAAUGUGUAAGUAACUAUGCACGUCUUGACGGUACCUAAUCAGAAAGCCACGGCUAACUACGUG
rnacentral:rRNA from 1 species